UUUUUUUUAAUAUCUGGAUUCUAGAAGUUCAAACACAAAGACCCUACAUAUCCUAGAGGCAGAAUCCACACCAAGUUAAAUUCAUCUCCUUUGGAGAAGAGAUCCCUCCCAACGUACCUCGAACCUAACACCUCUACUUGGAAAAUUUACCACUGGGCCAACAGCUCGUUGGUCAUCUAAGUGUUUUACCUU
rnacentral:sRNA from 1 species